rnacentral:rRNA from 1 species
UACGUAGGGUGCGAGCGUUAAUCGGAAUUACUGGGCGUAAAGUGUGCGCAGGCGGCCGCGCAAGUCGAGUGUGAAAGCCCCGGGCUUAACUUGGGAAUUGCGCUCGAAACUACGUGGCUGGAGUAUGGCAGAGGAAGGUGGAAUUCCACGUGUAGCGGUGAAAUGCGUAGAGAUGUGGAGGAACACCGAUGGCGAAGGCAAUCCCCUGGGCCUGCACUGACGCUCAUGCACGAAAGCGUGGGGAGCAAACAGG